CUGGGCGGCACGUUGCUGCCUGAGCUCUCGCCGCGAAUCUCCGCACGCUGACCUGUCAGGACGCUACGCUGCGCUCCGGUGUGACGCUUCCGUUUUGCCGGUGGAAGUUGCGUGUACGUUUCGACAACGUGUCCCUUCUCUUGCUUUUUCCCGUCAGUGACGACUCGCACCUUUUCUCUAAUAUCAGUUUUUUAUCGACUGAGGUGCGGAAGUUAAAAAAAAUAAUUGUUUUUCAUCUUUCCUUCUUUUUAUUACUGUGUGGAUUCGCGACGAGCUGUGAAGUCAGCAAACGAGCUACCGCGGACGGCUGCUGCAGACAUGAAUACGAUAAAAGGAGAACGAUCACCAUCCUGUGUCCCUCCGGUGGCAGACAUCAGCUCCAGAGACGGCGGCAGAUGGUUUGAGGGUUGCCGACGCGGCCGAGCGCCCAAGAUCGGAGACAUCCCAAGG